UACGUAGGGGGCAAGCGUUGUCCGGAAUCACUGGGCGUAAAGCGCACGUAGGCGGCUUUUUAAGUCAGGGGUGAAAUCCUGGAGCUCAACUCCAGAACUGCCUUUGAUACUGAGAGCUUGAGUCCGGGAGAGGUGAGUGGAACUGCGAGUGUAGAGGUGAAAUUCGUAGAUAUUCGCAAGAACACCAGUGGCGAAGGCGGCUCACUGGCCCGGUACUGACGCUGAGACGCGAAAGCGUGGGGAGCAAACAGG
rnacentral:rRNA from 1 species